ACCUUAAAAUUGCAGUUGAUACUGGCGUCCUUGAGUGCGGUUGAGGUGUGCGGAAUUCGUGGUGUAGCGGUGAAAUGCUUAGAUAUCACGAAGAACUCCGAUUGCGAAGGCAGCACACUAAGCCGUAACUGACGUUCAUGCUCGAAAGUGUGGGUAUCAAACAGGAUUAGAUACCCUGGUAGUCCACACGGUAAACGAUGGAUACUCGCUGUUGGCGAUAUACUGUCAGCGGCUUAGCGAAAGCGUUAAGUAUCCCACCUGGGGAGUACGCCGGCAACGGUGAAACUCAAAGGAAUUGACGGGGGCCCGCACAAGCGGAGGAACAUGUGGUUUAAUUCGAUGAUACGCGAGGAACCUUACCCGGGCUUAAAUUGCAAAGGAAUGAUUUGGAAACAGGUCAGUCUUCGGACCUUUGUGAAGGUGCUGCAUGGUUGUCGUCAGCUCGUGCCGUGAGGUGUCGGCUUAAGUGCCAUAACGAGCGCAACCCUCGCCGCCAGUUACUAACAGUUAAAGCUGAGGACUCUGGCGGGACUGCCAUCGUAAGAUGUGAGGAAGGUGGGGAUGACGUCAAAUCAGCACGGCCCUUACGUCCGGGGCUACACACGUGUUACAAUGGGCGGUACAGAAGGCAGCUACCUGGCGACAGGAUGCCAAUCCCUAAAGCCGCUCUCAGUUCGGACUGGAGUCUGCAACCCGACUCCACGAAGCUGGAUUCGCUAGUAAUCGCGCAUCAGCCACGGCGCGGUGAAUACGUUCCCGGGCCUUGUACACACCGCCCGUCAAGCCAUGAAAGCCGGGGGUACCUGAAGUGCGUAACCGCAAGGAGCGCCCUAGGGUAAAACCGGUAAUUGGGGCUAAGUCGUAACAAGGUAACCA
rnacentral:rRNA from 1 species